rnacentral:tRNA from 1 species
ACGUUAUUAGUAUAUAAAUUACAUUUGACUUCCAAUCAAAAGACCGUGAACCACCCUCACGAUAACGUA